GAAAGCUGCUGCCAAUUGACAUAACCUUUUUGUUCUUGAAAAGAAAAUAAAAGAGAAGGAAAAAAAAAAUAGUUGAGAUGAGUCCAAACGGUUGGAGUUUUUUUUUUUUUUUUUUUUUUGAAGAGUAAUCAAGAUUUUAUUAAAGAAACAAGAGUGUAGUGCAAGAUGUGGCAGGUCCUACCAUACAAUGAGAAGGGCAGACCUGCUAGAUCAUGAAGCCCAAACAUGCCAACCACACCCUUCUGAAUUUGAAUUAUUUCAUUAGUGAUUCUCCUAGGAGCAUUGCUGUGGUGAGGAGGGAGCAAGUAUCCCUCAUGCAAGCGCAGUGGAAGAUGAGAAUUGCUCAUUAUGGAAGAACGCCUAUGAAGAUUUAAGGGAAAGCAGCUCAAAUUGACUCUUCUUUGAUGGCUAAUGCUACUUAAUAGCAGAAGAGAUGUAGCUUCAUUACACUCAAUUCAGAUCCUUUGUAUGUUGCUUACCAUGAUGAGGAAUGGGGAGUUCCUGUCCACGAUGACAAGAUGUUGUUUGAAUUGCUUGUCCUAACAGGUGCACAAGUUGGGAUGGAUUGGACUUCUAUCUUGAGAAAACGCGAUGAUUUCAGGGCUGCUUUCACUGGGUUUGAUGCAAAAAUCAUCGCCAACUUCACAGAAAGACAAUUAGCAUCAGUGGCCACAGAUUGCAACCUGGAUUUAAACAAGGUUUGAGGUGCCGUCAACAAUGCUAACAGAAUCCUCCAGGU